rnacentral:misc_RNA from 1 species
AUAGGAAAUGCAUAAACAGUAGUGUGUACGCCGGUAAGUGCGGCGCCACACGUCUCCGUUGUUUUAACAAACUUUUUGAAAAUUAUAAAUAACCCAAAAUACUAUGGAAAAAUACUAAAAUUGUCACGCCCAGAUGAACACAUGUGUCGGCUAUGAGGUCACCGGCACCUGUAAUAUGGCGUGGACAUCCUAGUUAUUGAAUCGUGCUGAAGAGAGAAUGAAAAAUUACUAGAAGUGACUUGUAUCUUACAAAGAGAGAAAGAGAGAAAGACGAACGAACAUUCGCACUGUUAACAAGCAAGCGGCGAGACUGUUGGGAUCGGUGUUCAAGCCAGAGUGACUCGUGUUGCAAGAGGAAGCACUUGGAUGGCUAUUGCAUUUGAAGCUAAACUCAAGCUGCAAUAUUUGGCCUUUUAAUUUCCACCGAGAGCGAAGGUCUAUCCACCUUGAAGUAAAGGAAUGAUCCUACGCUCACCCCCGCAGUAAAUGUUUCAGUGGCAAUAAGGACUCCCAGGAUCCCGCGCUCAAGGCCUGGAACCGCCAACGCACUGGUGUGCCAAUGACUAUGAGCCGCAUCCGCAUUAGUGCCAAUGGCGUCCCGACGUCAAUGCUUCGCCGGGUCGUGGUGGUAAUCCUGGUAAGCAUUAUGUUCGUCAUGGCCUUCUACGGCUACGCCUUCUUGAGUGACAAGUUCCAUCCCCACUUCCUCGGGCGGCACCACCCGCGCCACCGGCUGCACCACGGGGCGGCCAUCGCAGGGAACAGCAACGUCGUCCUCGACCCGGAAAAGUCCCACAUGGGCAACAUCUACAUCGACAAUUUCCGUCACGAGGAUUAUGAGGACUAUGAAGAUUAUGAAGAUGAAUCUGAAGAGGAAGAUGAUGAUGAAGAUGAUGAUCAUGACGAUGAGGAUCAUGACGAGGAUGAUGAUGACGACGAUGACGAUGAUGAUGACGAUGAUGAUGAUGAUGACUAUUACGGUGAGGAUUAUGACAGACAUGCGUUAAGAUAGUGGGCCAUCCGCAUACAAAAUGAGAAUCGAUUAUAAUGUGUCCGAGAUGUUCAGUUAUAUUGGCGAAACCAAAGUAAACAAGGAGUAAGGCACUAAGCUUCUUUACCACAACGCUUAAAAAAAAACUACCAGUGGAAUCUACAAACACGAUGCUUCACCCGAAUGACAUAGGGAUUAUCACGGACCAACAUAUGCCUGAGAACAAUGUUGUUUUAUUUAUGUUUAUGUGUGUGUGUUUGCGUGUGUAUGCGUGUGUAUGCCAGCGCGCGCGUGUGUUUGUGAGACCACUCCUGUCAAACAACUUCUGUACACUAAUGCUGUGUGUUUUAUAAGAGUUAUAAUCCUAUUACGUUUGUCAGUACAUUGAAAUGAAUUGUGUGGAGAUUUGAAGGAUGAAAUGUUGAUGAAUAAAGAAUAAGAAG